AUUUAUGUAGUUUAAUUAAAACAUUACAUUUUCACUGUAAAGAUAUUAUAACUAAUCAUAAAUU
rnacentral:tRNA from 3 species